rnacentral:lncRNA from 1 species
GGUAGUGACGGUGGUGGCGGCAGAAUGCGAGAACCGCGAAAGGGGAAACGAGCCCUCGCGCGACCUUACCGCGCGCAGCUUUAGAGUCGGAGGAAGAGAGAAAGAGAGAAUGAGACCGUCGGAGAGUACGUACGCGGUAGCGCCUCAGUACGUACCGCGACGUGGACGCGUCUGUAUCGCGCACACUCUCGGGCCCCCUGUGACUUCAUUCUUAACUGGGUCAACCCCCGUCGAACGGGAUAUCCCUCCUGUGCAUUAGCUCUACGAGGGUGAGACCUCGGCAGUAGCAGCGCGCCCGCGGCCAAAGAACACUGCCGAAGAGAGGUGCCCUCGUUUUUUUCCCUUUCUUUUUCGUCGUUGCCCGUCAAGAAAACGGGGGAUUGCACCCGUUCGGUAUAUCGUAUUUCAAGUACGGCGCUCAUGCUCUCGGGUCACGAGGGUGAUUUCUCGAGUCGAACCUUGCGGACGAGAGAACGAGGGGAAGAUUUCAACUUUUAGGUUUCGUUUGUGCGAUCGUUAAGCGGAUAGUCCCGUGUGACGGAGUGGCCCAGUGAAGGAUACGUUUGCGUACGACGGAUAGGAUUUUAGUGUGCUGAUCAAUGUGCUGAUUGGUAUGAAUUUUCAAAGGACAAUCCGCUGUCGGAAGCAAGAACGGUAGUCCGCUUGUCGCGAAAGGUUCACGUUCGAAGUGACGGCGGAGUAUUUACAUAUAUACUCGUCCGUCGAUUAUCGUUAGAUCGUAAUGCCGCGGACAGAUCGUUGAUUGAAACGAUCGCCCUACUUAAGAUAAUGAUCGUGUUCAACGUGGUUCGCUUUGCGAUCUCUUUUCGAGUGAUUUGCCAGUAAUGGUGCGGCAGCUGUCGUACGAAGCUGUCGAUGGAAUUAGCAGUGACGUGUCUGCGACGGCGGAUUUCAAGUGUUUGCGUUGCAAUUUUGCUCUGUCUGUCUGUCUGUCUCUUUCUCUCUCUCUCUCUCUCUCUCUCUCUCUCUCUCUCUCUCUCUUUCUCUCUGACGUCUGUCUGUUCGGCGCUCACACUCCCGUCGCAACCAGGUCAAGUGUGCCCGCACCACCGCUGACCUUCACAGUGCAGGUUUCAGGAUCUUUUUACCCCGUCGCGUUUAGCGCGCUACAUUAACCGCCGUAAUAAAUGUGUCGCUCUGUCGGUGACACUUUGGGAUUUCAGAAAGUGUGUUACUCCCUGUACAGUAAUUAAUUGCCUCGUUUGUGCAUUAAGGAUUUGGAAAAAAAAAAUCUUGACGCGUCUCGUGAGAUUGGAAAACUUGCGAUUUUUACGGGCGACGGACGGGAAAUAAAUUGGUUGUCCGACUUUCGACGGCUGACCCGCGAAGUAAUUUAUCAUACAAUUUUCCAGUCGUCUCCGAUAUUAUUAUUACACGGGCACUUUUGUGUGAAAACCGCCGCUUACUGUUCAUUCAUACAUUUUGUUAUUAAAACUGUUCGAGGCCCCUUUUGUGUUCGCAUUCAUUCAUGUGUCUGCCGCUUUUAUAGACGCCGUUAUAGCCUGUGUGACAUAUACAAAAUCACCGUGCGCAUCUGUGCUACAAAUAUCCAACGGUGUUAUGAAUAGCUUUUCCCAGUCGUCGUAACCACCUUAACGGCGGCGGUCGAAGCAUCCUUGAAAAAUUCAUGCCGCCCCGCGGAGUUUGCCUGUCGGAGUUUACGAGACGGUGCCGUGGCUCUUCCCUUACGUUUUAAUCCCCUGAAAAAUGCACCCGUAGCCGCGCGCCGCUCCCGGGAGGCGAUGUCGCGACUGUCCUGAAGGACCUGACGGAUGUUUCAGUGCCCAGCUCUUCCUUACUGCCGCGGCUAUAUUUCCGACGGGGAGCGGAGCGUAGAAAACGUUUCCGCGCUCGUUUCUGCAAUAGUAAUCUCUGGAGGUAUGCCUCGGGUAAAACAGGACACCCGCGCCAACUCGUAGAGUGGAUCCCGAGCCGGGGAGGCCCUCCCCUUCCGCGUAAAGUCUUCCCCGGAGUUUAUCCCCGCCGCAAGCGCGGAUCCUUCGGUCCGUACCUCGAGAUAUCCGCGCGCGUGUUCAGCUGGGUUAUUAUCUAAAGAUGGACGGUAAUCCGUUUAUAGCGAGGAUUUCUUCGGGUAUGGUACGAGUACGUAUGGUACGACUCGCGGUUUAUACGAUGUAAUAGGGACGGGGGAUGUGCCGCUGCGUUUCUCCCUCCUCCUCCCCCUUCUCGAUAAAACGCGACGCGGAAUCGUUAAUGGCCGGUUGAAAAUGGGCGAAGCGACGCGCGGCUGUUAACUAUGCGAUAAGAUUUUCAAUGCUCGUCAAACACAUUUUUCGCGAUUCUGAAAGCUCGCUCCGACACGCGUUCCAUUCACCGCGCGCUGCAUAAAGGUGGUAUUAAUAGGAGCGUACACAGCUGGAAGCUGUAAUCGUUUGCUCAAUGCGCGUAUUAACGUAUUCGCGAGACCAUUCAAACGGGCGGCGGCCCAUUGUAUAGUCGUAUACGCGAAAGCCAGAAACGCCAAAGCGUCACAUCUAAUAAUCAAACAAAUAUUUAGCCUCUUUCCAUUUUGAAGGCUUCCGUGUAUGUACAAUUAGAAGGAAUUAUCCGUCUCUCCAUUUCUCAUAAUUUUCCCGUAGGGAUCACUAAUCUUCACCAGUCAUUUGGACUUAGCGAAUCCAUUCCGGCUUCGAGCUCAAUACACUGCGAAUUAUACUCGCUUACGUUUACACACCACUCAUGUACACGCGUUUUUGUACGCGGCAGGGCAAUGAAUAUUUCAGGAAAAGUAGAAGCGUCUGAUGUAUAAUUCAAUUAAAAAAAAUUUUAAAGUAAUAAGAGUAAAAAGCAUUAAAUCCAUACGUAUUUGAUAUGACUGCCACAGGCUGGCAGAAGCGAAAUCUCGGGGGUUUAUUUAUAUCUUUUAAUUGAAAAAAAUUAUUUCCUCUUGUGCGAUUAAUGUCAGGUAUCUAUAUCGUGCGUUUCGCGUGUCCCGCAAACACGAUUGGCCGACUUUAUGUACACCUCGAUAAAGUAACAUGCACGCAAUAACGUAUCGAUCUGAUUGAGAACGAGGUAUUGUUAGCUCCGCAUUGGAACUUAGGAUUUCUUUCGGUCAGCUACAUGAUUCCACUUGUCUGCCGUCGAUCAAAGAGGGAUCCUUGUGAAUUUCUCGACGAGAGCUUUCUUUUAAACUCUAGAUUUUUUUGGAUGACACUUUACUGUUUAUCGUUGAAAACAACCGUGACUCUCGUUCGUCUUUCGCGAUGAUACAUCGUCUGUGCGCCCUCGCAUUACUAUAAGUAUCUUGAAUUUUUCGGAGAAUGUAGUAGAAAAGCGAUUGUAUUUUCGCAGCAACUGUUGUACGUCGCGCGAGGGAGAGCUAGGAGGUCGAAUGGUGUGAGCGUGACCGGAAUAAAACAACGCGAGAGGACACCGGCUGAGCAAGAAUUAAAAAGGUGCGCGGACGUUAGCGCGUCUCGAGGGCGAUCCUCGGUAUAUCCUGAUAGUAAAAGAUAAUGAACGGUGAUAAAGGAUAACUUCACGGGGGCCCUGGGAUAAUAUUCCUGCGAAGGGUUUUCUCAAUUUUUCUUUUCGGACACAAAAUUCCGCGCGACGCGAUAAAACUAACAAGAUGACGGUCUGUGAGAUAAUUGGGAGACCUUUAAGGGUUUUAGUGCGUUUCACGCGUCCUUGAAAAUCGCAAGCUCAGAGGAAUUUGUGAGGAUAUUUAUUUUGGACAAACACACUGCCGAUCCUUCGAACAGUUCGACGUGCCUGCGUCGAUUUCCGUGAGUUUUAGUGAUAUGCAACGCGAUAUUUUGCAGCGAAAUUUUAAGUGCGAUACCAUUAGUUAAUUUCACCGUGGGGCAUCCUGGAGAAUUAUUGAAGGUAGUGCCGUACGUUCGUGAAACUCGUGAUUUACGUCGUCCACCUCGCUACGCAUCUUUCAUGUCAAAGAUAGAACUUUGCGUUGCGAAAUCUCUUCUUGGAUACGUCGGUGCUCGUGUAACGAAAAAUAAAUCAUAAAACAGGCAUCGAGGGAAGGUGCGAUCAUCACUCGGCAUGAAGGGUAAGUACCAUUUUUUUUAGUGUAUUAAAUCUUUUUAUAAUAAUGCGAUAAGCAUCGCAACUAUAAUUGUUUAGCGGGAAUAACUAUCGCGAUACGAACCAAUAAAGCAAAUUAUUCUGUUAGAUUAAAUUGUUUAUUGCGAGUCUACAGUGACUAGUCCAAUUCUGUAGGAAAUUAUGGGAAUAUUAUUUGACUAUGACGUUCCCUUUUUUGUUUGUCAAAAAUGAUAUUUUGAGAGUAAUUUAUUAGACUUCUGGGCUACGCUUUUUUUUUUUAAUUUUAAACCAGAUGGUUGUUACAGUCGAGCAGCGAGACAACCAAUCAAAAACACGCUCGAGUACUUUGUCGAUAUAACCGGGUCCCAGGAGUCACGCGUGAAUGCGAAACGAAACGAGCGGCGGCCGUACGUGUGCGCGCGUUUACUUCGCUGUUUUAUGGACAGUCGAUUUGAUGAAUUAUAUUGAAUAACGAUUCAUUUCUUGCGCAAAUAAAUUUUGCGGUGCGUAGUGUAAUACCGCUGAUAAAAAAAAGCCACGCGCGGCUUACUACUAAAAAUUUGUCGUAAAUUUCCACGCGAGUCGAUGUGCGGUGGAAAAGUAUAUGCGAAAUUUUAGCCAUCCAAAAGUUUCCAUAAGUAGUGCUUUUGCAGUUUUUUUUUUUUGUUAAAACGUUUUAUAUUCUUUUAAAACUGUUUCAUGAAAAAGUAUUGCUUACAAUUGAACUUCCAUUAUUCGAAUUUCCAUUUUUUUAUCCAAAUGUUCUACACUCCAUUUACUUCUUUUACGUAGAUUGUUAGAGAUUUUAAUUUGAAAUAAAAUACUUCUUCUCUUAUUUAUAUAGAAAUAUUUUCUGCAAAAUAACAAAAGAUUUGUAUGAUUUGAAAAAGGUGUCGAUUUUAAAAAUAUUUUAUUUUUUCUUAAAUAAUAAGAUUAUUUAUUAUUCUUUCUAAAUUGUAUUAAUUUUAAUGUUAGAAAAGUAAUUGUUCCUUAUAAAUAUCCUUAAGUUUAACUUGUUCGUUUGUAUUCUAUCAGCUUGAAUAACAGAGACUAUCGUAACUCAAUUACGAAACGACAUCCGACACUCUGUUGCUUAGUUAUCCAAAUUCUAUUUCACGCGCUAUCGAAAUAUCACUCAAAAUGCAAAGUGACGGGCAGUAUCGCGAUCGAGUGACGAGUAUGCACAUGGUUAGUGGAUUAUACCCUUUGGUGGUUUGUGUGCUUCCGGAAGUAUGUAUCAAAGUCCCCGGCGGCGACGCCGUGAAAAUUUCCGGAAUUUCGCGUUGGCUCUGCGAAAAGCGAACCCGGCGGCGGGCAUUACGUAACAGCUGUUUUGCAUUGCAACCAAAUUAGUUGGUGGUGCGUGCAUACAGAAUUAAAUUCGACAUUUCGCUGGCGCUGAAAAUCGCUGGUCAUUACAUUUCGCGAUCUUUACACUUCGAACUGCGAACUUCACCUGCGUUUUAUGACGCGAUUAUUUUUACUUAAUUAUAAAAUAGAUGAACAGUUUGGCUGGGGUUUAGCUCUGGCAAUGUUAUCAAGCAAUUUGUACAGAUUUACUAAUUAAAAAGUAGACGAGCAGUAGCUUGUCAUUCAUUAUUCAUAAACCGUAAGCCAUUUGAGCUGUGCGGCAGACUUGAUUAAAACGUCAGUUUACAAAAGUGAUUUGUGUUGGCACGAUCCUAAUUAUCAAAUAGCUGCCUAUUAUGCUAUGGUAUAAAAACUGGCAACGAAAUUUUGAAUACAUCAGCAAAUUUACUGGUGAACUUAUGCGUAAUAAAUGGAACUAAAUAACAUACUACAUACAUUUGUUGUUGCAGUGCUGAAAAACUAAAGAAUUAUCUCGAAAAUGAAUUGAGUUCUUUUCAGGAAAAAACAAUUGUUGUUUGGUAUAUGCAAAUACUUUGUUAUUUUCCGAUUUUCUUCCAAUUUACUCUGCGUCAGUCGUAAAAAAAGUUAUUUUAGUCAUUUUGAACAGUGGCAAUUACUUCAUGUUUGAUUAUUCGACAUGACACGACAAUGCGUUGAAGAAUGAACGCAAUUGAACAAAUAUGUAUUAUUGGUAGUUAUGGUCAUCAAUUUGGUUAUCAAUUUCGAUAUAAUUUGACUUCUGCUGUCGUAAAAUAACUUUUCUUACGACAGCAAAAGUCAAAUUAGAUCGAAUUGAUGCCCAUACCACAAGAGCACACAUUUAUUCAAUUACGUCCAUUCGUCGCGUUGUCGGACUAUGUCGAAUAAUCGAAUAUGGAGUAAUUGGUCCAUAUUCGAUCCAAGGUACAUCCCGGAGCAUGCUAAUCGAAUCUUGUCUCUGCCUAUUAUAAUUAAAGUUCACCGUUCUCAUUGGCCCCAUGUGGCACAUUCACAAAAUUCGACAAGUUUGAUAGUAAAUGAUAAGAUAAUGCCUUGCUUUUUAUUGGUGAUUAGAUAUCUACUUAAAUUUUAAUUGAUUUAUCUUACUGAAGUAUCACGAAAAA